CUGGAAUGAUGAUGCUUAGCCAAAUCAGACACGGAUGUGCUCCACAAACGGCAUUGUCUUCAAUGCUUGUGUUAUUUGGUCUCUUUUGUGACCUAGACCAAUCAUUAGAUGCCCUAGUGUUGAAGUGCAUCCUCUGGUGAUAAUUUAGAGAUAGGUUACUGCCUGACCAGA